UCUGGUGGCUCACCGAAGAGGUCACACCUGAUCUCAUUCCGCACUCAGAAGUUAAGCUCUUCAGGGGCAAUGAUACUCACUAUGUGGGAAAAGUAGCUCGUCGCCAGAA
rnacentral:rRNA from 1 species